GAACUUACGCGAUAUCAGUAUCGUAACCAACGAGGUUUAUCCGAGGUGCGAUUAAUGCUAGAUGAAAAUUCCAUUCUUAUUUACGCCUCAUUAUUCCCAUGAAUUGUUCUCUGAGUUUAUAGGCCAUUAUUGGGAGAUAUUAUUAUC